rnacentral:rRNA from 15 species
AUCAAUAGAGACUUCCCUAGUAGCGGCGAGCGAACGGGAACCAGCCGAGCCUGAUAAGUGACUAGAACAUGUUGGAAACCAUGGCCAUAGCGGGUGACAGCCCCGUAUAGGAAGCUUUGAGGGACGUAUUAAGUAGGGCGGAACACGUGAAAUUCUGUCUGAAGAUCGGGGGACCACCCCCGAAGGCUAAGUACUCCUUACUGACCGAUAGUGAACCAGUACC